CAAGAUGAAUGAGGAGGGUGAUUGUAUCGCACCAUUCUCAUUGAAAUAAUAUAACAUAGGAUGGACGAUUAUUCCGCACCAUUCCAGUAGCAGGAAAAAUUUAAAUACGCAUAGCAGGGUGGGCGAUUAUACCGCACCACCUAAAAUUGUAAUGAAAUUAAACAGUAGGCAAAUUUAAAUCUGUAGGAUAGGGUAGGCGAUUAUACCGUACCAUCUAAAAUUGCAGUAAAAUUAGAUCUAUAGUCCAAGAUAGGCGAUGAUACCGCACCAUCUUGGAUCGCAGUAAGAUUAAAUUUGCAGUUCAAGAUGGGCAAUUAUACCGCACCAUCUUGGAUUGCAAGUAAAUCAACAUAAAUAAAUACUGGGUUAGUAAUCAAGAUUUACACCAAACAAGAAAUCAAAGAUAUAUGUAACUGUUAGGUUAAGAGCUAGAAGCAGGUAUGGAGCAAACAGUUCGUCGCAAGGGUAUAUCGCGCAGUUAAGGCAGAGGAAGAAGAUGAAUAGUAAAAACCUUAGAGGAAACAUUUUUUCCUUUCUUUCGUUCGGCGAAGAGAAAUGAGAAAUUGUUAGGUUUUAGAGACUCGUGCUGAUAACGUGUUAUAAAUAUGUAAAAGUUAAAGAAAUAACCUUUACUAGUAACAAGAGCGAAGCAGAGAUAAAAUUUCACACUGUAACUAUAGCAGUAAGGGAUGACAAAUAAAAGAGGGAGGAAUAGAUGAUGUUAUUGAUCUUUCUUUCUUUCUGUGUGUUUUGAUUGCAGUCGAAUGCUAUAUUUAUAGAGUAACUCGCAUUAUUACAUUUUGAAAUUUACAUCACAUAACUUUGAAAAUACAAUACGUUGUUUCCAAAGUCUACAUUACAUUUGUGGACAUUGAAAAUCUGUGUGUGGGCAUUCAUAACAAUGUCAAUAUUUUGAACUACUAAUAUUUUCAA
rnacentral:lncRNA from 1 species